UACAGAGGUCUCAAGCGUUGUUCGGAUUCAUUGGGCGUAAAGGGUGUGUAGGUGGCGCCGUAAGUCGGGUGUGAAAUUUCGGAGCUUAACUCCGAAACUGCAUUCGAUACUGCGGUGCUUGAGGACUGGAGAGGAGACUGGAAUUCAUGGAGUAGCAGUGAAAUGCGUAGAGAUCAUGAGGAAGACCAGUGGCGAAGGCGGGUCUCUGGACAGUUCCUGACACUGAGACACGAAGGCCAGGGGAGCAAACGGG
rnacentral:rRNA from 1 species